ACAGUUGCAUAGAUAUAAUGAGAACAGAAUUUGACUAAGAAAUCUCCCUUUACUACAGUUCAGAACACAGCUUAACAAAAAGCAAGGUGGGUGAGUGCAGCUUGGCUGAGGCAUGUCUUCUGGAAGAGGUGAGUUUUGAAUGAGAAGAUACCACACAGAGCAGAGACAUACCCCACGGCUGCCUAUCUUGAAUGUGAGGUUGAGAAGCUUGAGAACAAUAUGCAGGUUCCUUGAGCUUGAUCCUGGAAAAUGAUGAACAUUCUGGCCCUGAUUCUGUAAAGCACUUAAGCAAAUGCUUAAGCGAUAUGCUGGAUCUGAACUUGUGUUCCUAUUCGUCCUAUUUCUGAGACUUUUAUUUUAAGCAUCAUAGACUUGAUUAAAAAUAAACAAAAUAAACUGCA